GUUCCCGUAGCUCAGCUGGAUAGAGCGCAAGAUUCCUAAUCCUGAGGCCAUGGGUUCGAAUCCCGUCGGGAACACCA
rnacentral:tRNA from 2 species